UGUAAAUUCCAUCAGAAAUCGAUGAAAAUACGAAUGAACGAUCGAAAGGUGUCUCUUUCAGCUGAAGAAAGGUCAUUUCAUUGCUUAAACUGCCAUCCACACCUCAGUUAUUUGCAUAUAAGUUUGGUGGGUGGAAAGUUAAUCUGACAAGCUUGAAUCAUGUGAUGGAAUGGAAGAAGACAAGUUGUUUUUAGGUAGAAAAACAUGUAAAAUGGUCUCUAUGAUUUGAUAACGGGAUUAAGACGUUGAAAUCACAAUGACCAAAUUUGCAAUUCAACCUUUUUUCGUUAGAAUUUA